UCGCUUUCGACUACUUGCUAGCAAAGGUAACGAACACUUUCCAUUAACGUUACAUUUUCUGUCACAUUUCUCCUUUAUUUCUAUAUCCUACUUGUAACAUUUUUAAAAUUAAAUCUAACAAAUUGUUUCUGUUGAUAAUCGAUGCAUGAAAGCAAUACUUUUCGUGAAUCACACCCGUGGUAACUUGCUGACAGAAUAAGUUUUUUUGUGUGUGAAAAGAUUAACAUUGUGGAGAAUUUCUCCCUUUUCUCCUCCGAUAAUAUGAUGGGCAAGAUCCGGUACCUUCAGACUGGUGAGCAGCUGGCGCCUGUGACGACGAAGACUGAGGACCUUUUCAUAACAAAGUUAAGCAUAGUUAUUUGUCCUAUACCUCUGAGUUCACAGCCAAACUAUUUCAGCAUUCCUUCAAAAAACAUAACAUUAUGCUUAAGAACUAAUACUGUUAUGCGAUAUACUUCAUUACAUUCAGUACAUAACAGGCAGAGAGUGACAAAGAGGGUCUAAGAUACUGUGCAAAUGAAAUACAGGUUGUGAAAAUUGGACUUGUACUUUGUAUGAACAAUUCAUUGCCAAGAAAUGAAAUCUUGGAUCUACUUUUUUGUGUGUGUGGAAUCAACCCUUUUUGGGUGAAUUUGGGUGUGUUUGGCGCUGGGUUGUGAUCAGCGUCAGACUCAUUCGGUUUGAUCAAAUUUAGGAUUUUGCCUGGGAAUGACAGCAAGCAUGAAGUUUUCAGAGUGCUAGUGUUAAGAUUCCUUUUUAUUUCAAAUACUAAAUCUUACUUUCUCUGGUGAGACUCUGGCUGUGUUUCCAGGCUUGAAUGUUUUUCUGCUCGAAUCAGGCACUCAUGGGCUUUCGCAUAUGAAUCUGAAACAUCACAGAACAGGAGCUUAUCAGUUCAUCUGUAAAGGUCUGCAAACGAGACAUUUAGAUAUUCUGUUGAAGUACUCACUCUUUGUCUUCGGUAAUUGAAUUGAAUACACCUCUAAUGUAUCAAUGUCCGGCCGUUCAUGUGACAUCACUGCCUUCCUUAACUCCCCUUGGCUCUUGUAUGGAGGCCAGUAACAUUUGUCCUUGGUGCACCAGGUUUUUAAGAUGACAGCUGAACUGUCAUCUUCGUUCUGGAAAUUAACCACAGCAAACAUGGUACUGUGAACUAAAAAGCAAAUAAGGGUACACAAUUAGAUUAGUUUACUCAAACAUUUCACAAUAGUAACAUCUAAUGUCUUUUACUGACAAUUUACCUUAAAGAGAACGGGGAAACCAAUAGAAAUAACAUUGGUGCUUUGCAUCCUACAAAUGGAGUAAUGGCAUCCCAGCAAAGCCCUCUUCGCACGAGAGUAGAACAAACUUCUGAAGCACUUUUGUGGCAUGAGUGAAAAGAGGUUCAUCUUUCAAUCCAGAGAGAUGGAAAAUAUCAAGCGGUGAUGAUGGCAGGGGAUAUGCGAAAAGGUCUGUCUUGUUCCUAAAUGUUUUGUACACUGUGGUAUGUUCCUCCACCACAAGGUUUUGCACUAGGACAACCUCCUUGUUCCUCAACUGGACACAGUUAUGCCCAGUGGACAUCCGCAUGGAGAAGCAGCUGCAGUGGUCCACAAACAAAACCAGGAGGUUUCCUGCAUAGUCUGCUUGGUCUGCACACAAGGAUACACGUAGGAAGAUGGUCAUGGCAUCUGCAAGCAACAUGAAGUUUUCACACAUCACCCUUGGAAUAUUCCCUUUUGAACAGACGGGCCCAGUGUACAAGAGGAAUGUACGGAACUCAGUUACCUUCCAACGAUCAGACUCAUUCAGUGGUUCUCUUGAUUUCUGAUGGGAGUGUGAGGUCAGCUGUGAAGAUACAUUUCAGACAACAGCUGGACCUAAACAUGUUUUCAGUGGCCCUUUCUGCCAUAGUUAUCAGUUUCCGUGUAACUCUCAAACAUACCAGGAGCAUUUUGUCAAGAGGAAACGACGUCACCAAACCAUUUGAUAAUGAUCCUAAAGGUGUUGUCUUCUCUCAGUCAUCAGUCAAAUCAUCAAAAGUGUUGUGGUUGGCCCUCGGCUGUUGUUUCUGGGAAGGUCAUACGAUUCAGGUAGUAGACUCCCAUUUGACGGUAUUUGUCAUAGCCAUAGUAGCCAUUGUGACCUUUUGCAUUUCUGACAAAGGCCCUGGCUGGUGCGUCACAAAUAAUGGCAGAGAUUUGGACUUUAAGAUUUUUGUCUCCAAAAAAACAACUUCAGUUUCCAGCUGCUGCAUUUCCUCAAGUCAUGCAAAAAAUCAAGACGGUUUGGUUUCUUCUUUCAAUUUGAUGGCCUUUGUAUAGAGGAAGGCCACCAAAAUUGAUUUGGAAAGACACUGACAACCUUGUAUGAACAGAUGUUGUAAGGUGGGACGUUACGUUAGCUAGUCUAACGUUAGUGUCCGUCAACUAACUUCCAAGUCCCUAAUGUUCACCCUGAAGGUAACAUCAACUCACCUUGGCUUUAUACUGACCACAGAGACAGAUGCGUAAGCAAGGUGAUCCAGAUGAGCUGUUCCCUCCAGAGGAUUCCACAGGACAAUGUUUGUAUGUGUACCACACGGACCACACAGAUAGACUUCUCUCUGCUGUCUGGAUCCUGAACGAUGUUGACAACACUCAACCUCAAACUCCACUAGCUCAUGCGCCCCACAACAUUAGACAUGAAACCUUCCUGUCCAUCCUCAAUACCUUAAGCAAUAGACACACAAUGAUAUCCCCAUAGACAUGUAGGGUGGUUUGAGCCCAUAUUCAGUUUAAAUGCGUUCCCUGGUUGGCAUGAAUCUUCAGUUAGAACAUUUUACUGACUCAUCUCUGAUCAAGAUAUUCCACCAACGAUUGAAAGAAAUGUAUCUUUAAAAAAAACUUGUUUAGAACAUAGUUUAUAGUUUCCAUUAGGAAAUGUUAAGGAAGACUUCAAAAAGUAUUGCCUUGGGGCCUCUUAAGUCUAGAGCCUGCAUUGUAAGUCUAACAUCUUUGUAAAUACAUUACGUUUCAGUUUUGUGCUAAAGGUUGUCACACAAGACCAUGUUAAAGGUAGUAUUGCUAACUUAUACCUAAUCUUAAUGUGUGUCUUGUUGUAGAAUAAAGAUGCAUUUCCUGUCAUUUUUGUUCUAUAUUCACAAACUCACCUUCACAAUGCCCAAGAUUUGUGAAUGGGUUGACAGUGAGUAUGCAAGCUAUGUACUUAUAAGAAAACGCAAAAGUAGUGGAACUUGCCAUUACAUUGAAAUCGCAUUAUGCGAUGACAAAAUGUGGAACUUCAAUGGACAUUUUCCAGAAAAUGCUGAAUGGUACAGUUCAACUGUCAAAUGUGUGGUAUAUAUAUUACAAAAAUAUAUUUUCAGCUACAAUAGCAGUACUUAUUCAAUUUAUGAAAAGGUGUUACAGCAGGUCGCACGCACGGGUCCGCAUAUCGACAUGCCGAAGUUCCUCCACUGAAGGGCAGACCUCCACCUAGCACAGCGGCUUGCCGCUCAAGAAACGCUAGAGGAUGGAUGAGCGAUUGCUGACCAUCUUGUAGAUAGUCUGCCACCAGAGGCUCGACCGCGGCAAGCCGCUGAUGGCGUGCCACGCAAAUAAAACACUGGCGGACCGACAGGUCAUUGUUAGCUGGGUAGGCCCUGAGAGCUUGUGCCAAUAUUGCAGGUAACUCCUUCGCUGAGAAAUCUUUCAGCCCCAGGAACCGCUCCGCCGCAAUUACAAUGAUUUAUAUUUUGCUAGGCUUCUCUCCACCUUGGCAGUGCCAUAAUUACCAUAGCUAUAAAUGCCACAAAGUCCCUUCAUCAAAGCGCUGAAGAAGACUCCCAACACCAGAAAGAGAAAGUGCUUGAAGACAAGUUUUUGGCACCUCAAACCCACUAACAAAAUGGACACAAACACAAACUGUGGAAAAAUGACUUAAUUUUGUGAAAAAGAUACAGUAAACACAUCUGCCCAUGAAACUUUUACAAAAAAAUAUAUUUUCCUAGUAGUAUCUCAAUAUUUCCAUAUUAUGCAUUUAUUACUAGGGUGUAAGGGUUAAACAAUGGCUCUGGGCUUCAUUACUGUAUUGAGGUAACUCUGAUCAUUCCCUCCAUUUAGGAUCGGCCUUAUCCACCAUGUGAGGCAAAGCAGCAGAAGCUGUCGUAAACAUAACAUUUCCGUAAAUCAUUCUGUUUUUUCCCGCCGUCACAAGGACAUGCAAGAAAACACCAUAAUUAAAAUGUACAGUAACAUAAAAACAACUGCGGCACAUCACAUAGUAUGCCAUCUUCAAAUAGGAAAACAGUUAGAACCUGUACAGGACAUGCAGUUACGGUUUAAAAAAAUAGAUAAACAAAUAGGCUAAAAAAACAAACACUGUUUCCACUUUAGCAAAACGGGAAGUGUUAAUUUGUUACAGUAUACAAUGUAAUAAAAAAUAGAACAAAUCCCCAGUUGAUCUGGUCCAGGGAGACCAUUCUGUGGACAGACAGUCUUUACCCGUUGUUGCUGUACUGCCAUUUAGGUAGAAUGGGUCCAGGUCCACAUAUACACUUGAGAGGCCCCUUUUAGAUGGUCUUCAUCUCUAAAGGCCUUACUUACUCUUAGAUGAUUUACUUUUCUGAGGAGAGAAUAAAACCCAAAACAUUUGCAGCUCUGUUAUUCUUUGGCCAGGUAUAAGUAUGAGAGCUGAGGCAUGCAGUGAGUAGUAUAAGCACGCUGGGAUGCAAGGUCAAGAAAAAGCAUGUGUGUCAAUGUCUAGCUGUAACUUCUGCGCCUUGAUGAUGAAGAUGAUGACUUCCUUACCUUUUUAGGUGGGGUCUCUGUGGGUGCUGGAGGGUGCUGUACAGGGAUGGAGUCUUGGGCAGGUGUGGCUGGCAUCUCAGACACUGCAGUCUUUGAGAGUUUCAGCUUUUUAAUCUCUGUAGAGUUUUUAUUUAUAUAAACGUUAUUACACAAUCGUUUUCAGUAUAGACUAAUAUACAAUAUAUUUUUUUCAUUUUCUGAAACAAGGUUUUUAGAGGAAGAGUCACUCACUUUUCUUCUCUGUUGGAGAAUCAGGUGUUACUCUGGUGGAUGGAGGUGGUGGUUCCUUGUCAACACAGUUCUCAUUCAUUUUCUUCUUAUCCUUUUCCAGUUCCAUCUUAGUCUCAUUUUCCUUUCUUAUCUCCUCCUGUUUCUUCUUCGUUCCCUUCUCCUUUUUUGCACCAUUCUCCUUAGUCGUCCUCUUCUUUUCCUUCCCUGGUUCCUUCUCUUCUACAGUCUCAUUUUUCUUUUCAUCCGUCUUCUCUUCGCCGGAUUCCCUUUUCUUCUUUUGAGGUUGUGGUGAAUUGUCAUGUGCUUUAGUCUGAUUGUUCCUAUUUUUCCUCUUCCUUUUCCUGGCUGACAGGAAACCAUUAGGUGUUGGGGUAGCAGGCAUGGUGGGUGGCUGUUUGUCUUUGACUAAUGGGGUGGGAGGUGCUUUGACUGAUGGGGUGGGAGGUGCUGCCUUCUUAGCCUGACUGGACUUGGCUUUACUGGCUUUUGCAGAUGUCUUGGUCUUCCCAUUCCCAUCUUCCUUUUCAGCUGUAGUCUUGUCUUUUUCAGCAGCACUAGACUUUUGCACUGCAGCGCCAGCCUUGGGUUUAGGUGUCUUCGAUGCAGCUUUAGCCCUGGGCUUCGUCGGCGCUCUUGUUUUCUUCGCUGCUGAGGCAGGAGCAGGUGGAGCGUUCAGCGCAGUGAUGGCCAUUUUGGCGAUGUUUGUGUCUGUGGACAGAGUCUCUCCCUCUCUUGCCUGAUAGUUCCAGUGCCAGUCUCUUCCACUUCUCCACGUCCAGAUCGGAGUCAGAGUCUGAGCCAGAGUCGUCUCCCCCUGUAGGAGGAGGACCAAGAACGGUCAGAGGCAGGGCAGCCAUGACAGUCUCAGGGGAGGGCUUCUUCUUUUUGCCUUUAACGGGUGUGUCCCCUGGUUUGUCUUCACCUCUUUUCCUCUUGGCUGAUGGAGCUGAGGCCUGAAACAUGGGUUGGUAAGAAGAAUUCCGUUAUGCAGAAUGAUCUAGCUAACAAGCACUUAGAGAAUAUGGUUCCCAAUGACCAUAUACGGAUGAGAAAAUAAGUCUGUGCAAUUUAAUACACCGAGAG